UACAGAGGUGGCAAGCGUUGUUCGGAAUUACUGGGCGUAAAGGGCGCGUAGGCGGGUUUCCAAGUCGGUUGUGAAAUCCCUCAGCUCAACUGAGGAACUGCAUCCGAUACUGUUUGUCUUGAGGACGGGAGGGGAGAGUGGAACUUCUGGUGAAGCGGUGAAAUGCGUAGAUAUCGUAAGGAAGACCAGUGGCGAAGGCGGGUCUCUGGACAGUUCCUGACGCUGAGGCGCGAAGGCCAGGGGAGCAAACGGG
rnacentral:rRNA from 1 species